CACAAUGGGCGCAAGCCUGAUGCAGCCAUGCCGCGUGUAUGAAGAAGGACUUCGGGUUGUAAAGUACUUUCAGUCGUGAGGAAGGCGGCGUCGUUAAUAGCGGCGUUGUUUGACGUUAGCGACAGAAGAAGCACCGGCUAACUCCGUGCCAGCAGCCGCGGUAAUACGGAGGGUGCGAGCGUUAAUCGGAAUUACUGGGCGUAAAGCGCAUGCAGGUGGUUUGUUAAGUCAGAUGUGAAAGACCCGGGGCUCAACCUCGGAAUUGCAUUUGAAACUGGCAGACUAGAGUACUGUAGAGGGGGGUAGGAAUUUCAGGUGUAGCGGUGAAAUGCGUAGAGAUCUGAAGGAAUACCGGUGGCGAAGGCGGCCCCCUGGACAGAUACUGACACUCAGAUGCGAAAGCGUGGGGAGCAAACAGGAUUAGAUACCCUGGUAG
rnacentral:rRNA from 1 species